AUUGAACGCUGGCGGCAUGCCUUACACAUGCAAGUCGAACGGUAACAGGGAGCUUGCUCCGCUGACGAGUGGCGAACGGGUGAGUAAUGUAUCGGAACGUACCUUUUAGUGGGGGAUAACGUAGCGAAAGUUACGCUAAUACCGCAUACGCCCUACGGGGGAAAGCGGGGGACUUUCGGGCCUCGCGCUAAUAGAUCAGCCUAUGUUGGAUUAGCUAGUUGGUAGGGUAAAGGCCUACCAAGGCGACGAUCCAUAGCUGGUCUGCGAGGAUGGUAAGACACCUGGGGACUGAGACACGGCCCAGACGCCGACGGGAGGCAGCAGUGGGGAAUAUUGGACAAUGGGCGAAAGCCUGAUCCAGCAAUACCGCGUGUGUGAGGAAGGCCUGAGGGUUGUAAAGCACUUUCAAUGGGAAGGAAUACCUACCGGCCAAUACCCGGUAGACUGACAUUACCCAUACAAGAAGCACCGGCUAACUCCGUGCCAGCAGCCGCCGUAACAC
rnacentral:rRNA from 1 species